rnacentral:lncRNA from 1 species
CAGAAAAAAUUGGCCGCUUGGGUGUGGAAUCAGAGAACAUAGUGGCCAGUAGCAAGCAGAAGAGGAACCAGAGGUCUGGGAAAAGACUAGUUUCACAGCAAAAUGUGGCUUGUGGCAAUCUGAAGUGACGGCUCCUAGCUUGUGCAAGACACUGGCAAUAGCUGAGAGACUAAUGUCUGCACAGCUGCUCGUGAGCCUGGGGGUGUGCAGCAUCCGUUCACCAUUACGCUCUGAUGAAACAUUGACAAAACAAAAAUGCUGGUAAGAAAUGCGGAUCUUCAGUAAUGUGAGAAACUACUCUUAUCACUGGCUAAUACACUUAUGGAGUUCAUAAACUGACCUAUGCCUUUGCUUAU